AUUGAACGCUGGCGGCAUGCCUUACACAUGCAAGUCGAACGGUAACAGGUCUUCGGAUGCUGACGAGUGGCGAACGGGUGAGUAAUACAUCGGAACGUGCCUAGUAGUGGGGGAUAACUACUCGAAAGAGUGGCUAAUACCGCAUGAGAUCUACGGAUGAAAGCAGGGGAUCGCAAGACCUUGUGCUACUAGAGCGGCCGAUGGCAGAUUAGGUAGUUGGUGGGAUAAAAGCUUACCAAGCCGACGAUCUGUAGCUGGUCUGAGAGGCCGAUCAGCCACACUGGGACUGAGACACGGCCCAGACUCCUACGGGAGGCAGCAGUGGGGAAUUUUGGACAAUGGGCGCAAGCCUGAUCCAGCAAUGCCGCGUGCAGGAUGAAGGCCUUCGGGUUGUAAACUGCUUUUGUACGGAACGGAAAGCCCUGGGUUAAUACCCUGGGGUCAUGACGGUACCGUAAGAAUAAGCACCGGCUAACUACGUGCCAGCAGCCGCCGUAAUAC
rnacentral:rRNA from 1 species